GCAGUCGUGGCCGAGUGGUUAAGGCGAUGGACUCGAAAUCCAUUGGGGUUUCCCCGCACAGGUUCGAAUCCUGUCGGCUGUC
rnacentral:tRNA from 1 species